UUCCGGUUGAUCCUGCCGGAGGCCAUUGCUAUCGGAGUUCGAUUUAGCCAUGCUAGUCGCACGGGUUUAGACCCGUGGCGAAAAGCUCAGUAACACGUGGCCAAACUACCCUAUGGAUCGGAAUACCCUCGGGAAACUGAGGACAAUCCCGAAUACCGCUCCUGCGCUGGAAUGCGCGGAGCUCGAAAUGCUACGGCGCUAAUCAGACUUUGUCUGAUUGCGCAACGAGACGCUCUGCGUCUCGUACGCGCCAUAGGAUGUGGCUGCGGCCGAUUAGGUUGACGGUGGGGUAACGGCCCACCGUGCCCAUAAUCGGUACGGGUUGUGAGAGCAAGAGCCCGGAGACGGAAUCUGAGACAAGAUUCCGGGCCCUACGGGGCGCAGCAGGCGCGAAACCUUUACACUGCACGAGAGUGCGAUAGGGGAACUCCGAGUGCGAGGGCAUAGAGCCCUCGCUUUUGUACACCGUAAGGAGGUGUACGAAUAAGGGCUGGGCAAGACCGGUGCCAGCCGCCGCGGUAAUACCGGCAGCCCAAGUGAUGGCCGAUAUUAUUGGGCCUAAAGCGUCCGUAGCUGGCCGGACAAGUCCGUUGGGAAAUCCGCACGCUCAACGUACGGGCGUCCAGCGGAAACUGUUCGGCUUGGGACCGGAAGACCUGAGGGGUACGUCCGGGGUAGGAGUGAAAUCCUGUAAUCUCGGACGGACCACCUGUGGCGAAAGCGCCUCGGGAAGACGGAUCCGACAGUGAGGGACGAAAGCCAGGGUCUCGAACCGGAUUAGAUACCCGGGUAGUCCUGGCCGUAAACGAUGUCCGCUAGGUGUGACGCAGGCUACGAGCCUGCGUUGUGCCGUAGGGAAGCCGUGAAGCGGACCGCCUGGGAAGUACGUCUGCAAGGAUGAAACUUAAGGGAAUUGGCGGGGGAGCACUACAACCGGAGGAGCCUGCGGUUUAAUUGGACUCAACGCCGGACAUCUCACCAGCACCGACAGCAAUAAUGACGGUCAGGUUAAUGACCUUACCCGAGCUGCUGAGAGGAGGUGCAUGGCCGCCGUCAGCUCGUACCGUGAGGCGUCCUGUUAAGUCAGGCAACGAGCGAGACCCGCACCCUUAGUUGCCAGCAGCAUCCACGUGAUGGCUGGGUACACUAGGGGGACUGCCGCUGCCAAAGCGGAGGAAGGAACGGGCAAUGGUAGGUCAGUAUGCCCCGAAUGUGCUGGGCAACACGCGGGCUACAAUGGCCGAGACAGUGGGAUGCGACCCCGAGAGGGGAAGCUAAUCUCCGAAACUCGGUCGUAGUUCGGAUUGAGGGCUGAAACUCGCCCUCAUGAAGCUGGAUUCGGUAGUAGUCGCGUGUCAGAAGCGCGCGGCGAAUACGUCCCUGCUCCUUGCACACACCGCCCGUC
rnacentral:rRNA from 1 species